CCAUGUAUGACUUCCUGCUGGUCUGAUAGGCCCACGACAAAUGAGAAGAUCCAAGCCGGCCUAUCCUGCAAAGGCCCAUGGACUGAUCCGCGGGACGGAUCAAGUGGCGUCCAACCAUGGGGCAGACCUGGCACGAGGGAUAAUGACACAGGACCGUUCACGGGGGUAAAGCGCCGGCGUGACUGUUUCGGGACUUCAUUCCUGUGAUCUGUGCAGACGGCCACCGCCACCUUACGUCUCGCCUGAAUCACGGUUCUUCCUCGCAUAACCUUCCACCCAGGAGACUACUACCUCCAGGCAUCGCAGACCGGCUAUAUAUUUAAGAGAGAACCCGCGACACUCACCUUAGCUGUAUUACUGGGAUUAGGAGUCACAACGGAAUAGGAACAGGGACUACGGCUCUAGUGUUGGGAAAUCAGCAUGUAGCUCAAUUACAGGCAGCAGUAGAUCAGAAUUUAAAAGAAAUAGAAACAUCUGUGACGGCUCUACAGGCGUCCCUGACGUCUCUAUCUGAGGUAGUCCUACAGAACAGAAGAGGGCUAGACCUCCUAUUUAUGAAGGAGGGUGGCUUAUGUGCUGCCCUCAAGGAAGAGUGUUGUUUUUAUGCUGACCACUUGGGAGUCAUCAAAGAGUCCAUGAGUAAACUAAGAGAGCACCUCAAAGAGAAAAAAAGAGCGCCUCGGAGAAACCACCUUCUCCUCCAUGUGGGGGGGUCUCUUCCCUUACAUUGCCCCCCUCUUAGGACCCCUAGCUGCCUUGCUGUUACUGCUUACUGUAGGACCUUGUAUUUUUCAGAGGAUCACGUUGCUCAUUAAUAACGUUAAUAACAGGAUUGACACAUUUAUGGCAAAGCCCCUUCAGGUACAUUACCACCGGUUGGAAAUGGCAGAACAACAAACUUAUCGGGAAAGAACCCCCACUGACAACCCACAUGAUACUGUGGCCCAAAUGCCCUGAGGCACUGGACAGGCAGCAAGAGACGGGCAACUAGGACACAUAUGUAGUGCCAAUCGGCCACCUAAGACAGGUCCAGGACCAACAGCUGUCUGCAGGCUCAUGAUGGGUAAGGCUCAAUUGGGUUCAUAUGAGGAGUCUUUGACCCAAGACAGGCACUGUCCUCCCAGGGCCUGCCAUGUUCCUAAAAAAUAUAUAAAAUAAUAAGGGAGGAGAUGUAGGGAGCAGCUCAGAAUGGCAGCUGCUGCCCUACCCCUCCCACCUGAGGGCAUUUUGUGUGUCAGCCUACAUUUCCCAUGAUCCUCCCCUCACCUACAGUGCGCAUGACGAAAGCAACUUCCUGCUUCAGCCUACAUCUCCCACAAUCCCCUGCUGUUGACAUCACUUCCACUUACCCACGUAUGACUUCCUGCUGGUCUGAUAGGCCCACGACAAAUGAGAAAAUCCAAGCCGGCCUACCCUGUAAGGCUACGUCCCCUUUGACUCUAUAUAAGCCAUGUACACUUCCUGAAUAAAUGAGACUCGAUUGGAGUCUCAUCCUGUCUCCAUCUCUCUUUUCUCUUGCCCUGCCCUUUAUUGCCGUCCUCUCUCCAGGUGAAGGCCCACGGACUGAUCUGCAGGACGGAUUAGUUUACCAUAAGUUCAAGUAUUAGGGUGGAUUCCAUCCAAGAUAAAAGAUAGAGUGUUUCCUUGCAAUGAGAUCCAUCUAAUAAUCAAGUGACAUGUUUCCUGUC